UCCGUCCCACUGUGCGUUGUGGGCCCAGGGCUGUGCUGGAGGUGUCCUGGUACCCGGCCAGCCGUGGUCCUGCAGCCUGGGCCUCCCGGUCCUGA
rnacentral:miRNA from 12 species